GACCGCCUAGCUCAGUUGGUAGAGCAUUGGGCUGGUAUUCCAAAGUCGUAGGUUCAUUUCCCACCGUGGUCA
rnacentral:tRNA from 1 species